AUACGUAGGUGGCAAGCGUUAUCCGGAAUUAUUGGGCGUAAAGAGGGAGCAGGCGGCAGCAAGGGUCUGUGGUGAAAGCCUGAAGCUUAACUUCAGUAAGCCAUAGAAACCAGGCAGCUAGAGUGCAGGAGAGGAUCGUGGAAUUCCAUGUGUAGCGGUGAAAUGCGUAGAUAUAUGGAGGAACACCAGUGGCGAAGGCGACGAUCUGGCCUGCAACUGACGCUCAGUCCCGAAAGCGUGGGGAGCAAAUAGGAUUAGAUACCCUAGUAGUCCACGCCGUAAACGAUGAGUACUGAGUGUUGGAUGUCAAAGUUCAGUGCUGCAGUUAACGCAAUAAGUACUCCGCCUGAGUAGUACGUUCGCAAGAAUGAAACUCAAAGGAAUUGACGGGG
rnacentral:rRNA from 1 species